rnacentral:misc_RNA from 1 species
CCGGGACCAGGGGCCGACGAUGGCCAACCGCCCGGGCAGCAAGUACGAGGCGGUGCCGUCCUUCUCCGACUACGGCCGCGGCGGAGAUCGAGGUGGUGGCGGUUAUGGUUAUGGUGACAGGCGAGGGGACGACCGGUACGGAAGUCGAGACGACCGCUACGGGGAUAGAGAUCGAGGAGGAGGCGGUGGCUUUGGCUAUGACAGACGAGGCGACGACCGAUACGGAAGUCGAGACGACCGCUACGGGGAUAGAGGUAUGGCCCGACCCACGUUUUCACCAGUGUAAACAACAGCAAUUUGCUUCUGGAUGCCAACUGCCGUGAUAGCGUCGUACGUUCGUGUUUCGUGGG